CCUCUUUUCCCGGCCCUCCACUCUUCUCUCGGGGGCUUUUUGGUGGGGUUCAGGUGCUGGGAGGCUCGCAGGGUUUUGCAGCUUACUCAAGCGAGUGUAAUUUGGUGGCAGCGAAGACAUCGCAGCACGGCGAGCCCUGCUGAGCUCACGCUGUUCAUCGCGGCAGCGGGACGAACAGCCCCCAGUCUCCCGAAUGGAAAGCUUUCCCCGUGUGCCUGCCAUGAUAAAUCAGCCGCCGUGAGCCUGAAUAACAGCAUUCACUGAACUUACAGUAGGAAACUUGUCUGGGCGGACACUGUGCCAUUGCUCUGCAGAGAGCAGCCGGUGCCGAUGGCUGGCGUUGCGCUGAAAUAUCGCAUUGAUCGCCGCUCCAAGGGUCAGCUGGCAGCACCGGGGUUAUUGCAGCGG